AGGGUUUGAUCCUGGCUCAGGACGAACGCUGGCGGCGUGCUUAACACAUGCAAGUCGAACGAUGAAGUGGAGCUUGCUCCACCGAUUAGUGGCGAACGGGUGAGGAACACGUGAGAAACCUGCCUCGGAUUUUGGGAUAACAGAUAGAAAUGUUUGCUAAUACCAAAUAACGUCGGAGAGUCACAUGACUUUCUGACGAAAGGAAUUCCGAUUCGAGAGGGUCUCGCGGCCUAUCAGCUUGUUGGCGGGGUAACGGCCCACCAAGGCAACGACGGGUAGCUGGUCUGAGAGGAUGGUCAGCCACACUGGGACUGAGACACGGCCCAGACUCCUACGGGAGGCAGCAGUGGGGAAUCUUGCGCAAUGGGCGAAAGCCUGACGCAGCAACGCCGCGUGCGGGAUGAAGGCCUUCGGGUUGUAAACCGCUUUUACCAGGAACGAAAAUGACGGUACCUGGAGAAUAAGGUGCGGCCAACUACGUGCCAGCAGCCGCGGUGACACGUAGGCACCAAGCGUUGUCCGGAUUUAUUGGGCGUAAAGAGCUCGUAGGCGGUUCAGAAAGUCGGGUGUGAAAACUCUGGGCUUAACCCAGAGACGCCACUCGAUACUACUGUGACUAGAGUUCGGUAGGGGAGCAGGGAAUUCCUGGUGUAGCGGUGAAAUGCGCAGAUAUCAGGAGGAACACCGAUGGCGAAGGCACUGCUCUGGGCCGAAACUGACGCUGAGGAGCGAAAGCGUGGGUAGCAAACAGGAUUAGAUACCCUGGUAGUCCACGCCGUAAACGGUGGGCACUAGGUGUGGGUUCCAACCAACGGAAUCCGCGCCGUCGCUAACGCAUUAAGUGCCCCGCCUGGGGAGUACGGCCGCAAGGUUAAAACUCAAAGGAAUUGACGGGGGCCCGCACAAGCAGCGGAGCGUGUUGCUUAAUUCGAUGCUACGCGAAGAACCUUACCAAGGCUUGACAUAUAGCGAAAAGUGGCAGAGAUGUCAUGUCCGCAAGGGCGCUAUACAGGUGGUGCAUGGUUGUCGUCAGCUCGUGUCGUGAGAUGUUGGGUUAAGUCCCGCAACGAGCGCAACCCUCGUUCUGUGUUACCAGCAUUUAGUUGGGGACUCACAGGAGACUGCCGGGGUCAACUCGGAGGAAGGUGGGGAUGACGUCAAAUCAUCAUGCCCCUUAUGUCUUGGGCUGCACGCAUGCUACAAUGGCCGAUACAAAGGGCUGCGAUACCGUAAGGUGGAGCGAAUCCCAUAAAGUCGGUCUCAGUUCGGAUUGAGGUCUGCAACUCGACCUCAUGAAGUUGGAGUUGCUAGUAAUCGCGGAUCAGCAACGCCGCGGUGAAUACGUUCCCGGGCCUUGUACACACCGCCCGUCACGUCAUGAAAGUCGGUAACACCCAAAAACAGUGGUCCAACCGCAAGGAGGAAGCUGUCUAAGGUGGGAUCGGUGAUUGGGACGAAGUCAUAACAAGGUAGCCGUA
rnacentral:rRNA from 1 species